AAACUAAAGGAAAAGAAGAAAGAAUGGAGAGGGAGAGAGAGAGGGAGAGAGAGGGAGAAGCAGAGACAUAGAGAGACUUAACUCAGCUGUGCGGGACAGAGGGCAGAAGGAGGAGGACUUGCACUGAGACAAGAGGGCGAGGCCUGAGCUGGAGGAAUGGGAGAGGCCUGAGCUGCCCCCUGCCUCGCCUGCCUGCUUCUCUGAUAGCAGCCUUGUGCUGUGAGGGCAGAGUGUGGGCCACAGGUCACGGGACACUAGGGGAAGGAGCUGUGCAUCUCUCCCCUCACCAUGGCACUGGCACCUGAGUUUCCCUUGGCCCUCUUGGAGAUGACUCCAGCACCCUUGUCCUGCGAGUGUCCUCCCUCCUCCUGCCUCAGAAGAGUCUUGCUCUCUCUGUCCCUUGGGCUGUGAGAAUGGUGAGGUGCCCAGUGCAGGGAGGAUGUGAACAUCGGCCUCCGUCUCGGGUCACUGUGUGUGUGGGUGUGUGUGGAGGGCGGGGCUCACUGCAGAUCUGAGCACAGAGCACAGGAGUAGAGAGCUUCCUGGAGGGAAGGACUGCCCUAGGUCAGCCCUGGGCCUGGAGCCGGGGGAGCCUUCCCAGAGAGCCACCACUGACCAGCAAUGGCCAGCUCAGCUCGUCACCAGCAGGCCGUGCGGAAGAGCCCAGGAGGAGCCCCAGGGGUGAGUGACUCACUGGAGGACUGGAGGUGGCUGGGCUCGGUGGCGGGCGGGGGAAGCCGGUGUGCUCAGAAAGAGCUGGCUGUGCAGAAGGAGAGAGGGGAGGAAAGGGGAUGCAGGAGAUCACCUGCAUGAUGCACAGCCCCCACAGCCCUGUCUCCGGUCCCGGCAACCCGCGGGCCACGGGGGCUGGGAAUCCCAAGUGCCCACACUGAGGAUGGCCCAUGGAGUCUCCCAAAGGUGCACGCGAGCACUCAGCCAACGUCCAAAGGCAAGAAUGGCGGGAGGCAGCAAGGCUAGUGCUUGUGCUAGGGGCACUGAGGAAGCCGGGUUUCUUAGACCCCAGAGGGAAGCAGUGGUGGGGGUAGAAAUCCUGCUUCUGUGUAUCAGUGCUCCUGAUGGCCAGGACCAUGGAAGUCCAGGAAUAUGCACCAGGCUUUCAGGGGUAGGCAAUGGUGUCCAGCAGUGGGAAUGUCACUUGUCCAUCAGCCCAGCCUUGAUGUCGGCCUUUCGGGGAUGAGCCGUGGGGAUGAGCAGGCCUUGGAGCUGGGUGAGGGGAGGGCGUGGGUGGUGGGGAGCAGCUGGCUGUCAUCCUUACCUUGGCUUCUCUGAAGUCUCCUCAUCCGUCUUCUCCAGGUGCUGAUGGGCUCUCGUUUCAUCUCCAUGGCACCCUCAGAGGCAGCGGGACCCCUUCCUCCCCACAGCUUGGCUUGGUGUUUCCCAAGCUGUAUGCUCCAUGAGGAACUGCCACCCAGUCCCCUGGGCUCCUCACUAGCUCAGGAACUAAGGAGCCAGCUCCAAGCACCAUGCCUUCUCCACCUGCUGUGGAACCAUCCCUUCCCUCUGUUUGCUGAAGGCCUCUUUGCUCUUCAGUCUCUGCUGACUUCCGGAACACUUUCUGUUCUUCCGUGGCACCAACUUUAAAGCUGCAAGCGGAACACAAGGCUUCCUCACAUCAAAGAGCUGAGGUCUGACAGGUCCCCAGGCACUGAUGUGGAGUCUGAGGGAUGAGCUAAGUAUGACUUGAAGGAUGGUUUAUGGGCCAGCACAGCCAUCCCUGGGAGCAGGUUUGAAAUUCACAAGCUCAUGGACAACAAACGAGAUCCUCCUGGGCUCAGGAUGGGGCUGGACGUAUUUGGAGAGUUCUUUUGUGAUUGCGCCAGGAGCUUCAGGCUUACUGGGGAGCAGCCUAAGGAAAAGUAGCCAUUGUGGGAACAGCCAGAGCUUAAUCGGAUCGAUAGGUGGAGAGACCACAGCCUGAGUGAACUUCCCCUACGUGACCAGCAGGUGGCGGGCGUGCACCAGUAGCGCUUCCCAUAGGCUCCUGCAGGACCAGGCCAAGUAAGAUCCUCACCCACCGGCAGGGCAGCCGAGUUUGGGGCAGUGUUAGACUCGCCAGGUGAAAAACUCUUCCAUGGCCUCCGUCCCAGAGCCUGGCCCUGGAGGCUGCUGUGGCACUAGGGUAGCAUCUCACUGCCACAGCCUCCCAGGGAACCCCAGGUUUGGUCCCAGGACCUGUACAUAUGUCCUCAUUAACUCUACCAGGAACCGGGUUAUGGAUGAAGUUAAAAUGGAAAACUGAACACACUGUAAAAGCCCUAUUGUGUGGCAAGGGUCAUCAGACAGCAAAAGAUAUCUUCAUGUGUCUACGAGGGGAAGGAACCCUGCUUGUGAGUCAGAGGGCUCGCAGGACCCAGGGGCUGGAUCAGGAUCGCAGUGGUGCGGUAGCAAUGAAAGCAGGGGCCUUGUCUGAUCAGCCUCUUGCUGAGCAUUUUCUUCCCAGAAAGGACAGGAUACUGCGCAGAGCAUGGUCUCUGAAACCAGGAUGCUAACAGUACCAUCUGGCUACCUACUAGGAGUGUGUCUUUGGGCAUGUUACUUAACCUUUUGGCGCCUCAAUUUCUCCAUUUGUAAAAUGAAGAUAAUAGGACCAUAACUUGCAUCCAUUAUGCAGUUUUUAAAUGAUUUUUGAUACACACACUGGCACAUACAAAUAGUUCAUGCAAAACGUAUGUGUACUGUCGUUGCCCUCCUUUCAUUUGAGUCUCUCCUUCAAUAAAAUGGGCAAAGUCACCUGGUGCACCUAGAAGAUAUCAGCUGAGCUCCAGAAGAAGAAUUCAGGGUAAGAAGGCCCAAGCGUUGACACCACCCCUUCUUCUUCAGGUCUUCUUUUUCUCACACACGAAGCCAGCCUGGCUCACCUUCCUCAUGUCUGCCACCACAGAACGGUGCUGUUCAUCUGGCGGCCACAGCUCGAUGGGGCCCUGGUGUCAAGUAUUUGCAGGUUGCUCUCAGCAGCUUGAAGGACCAAGACACAAAACAGAAAACCGAAGCAACUGCUAGGCCAGCUGCACUUGUCUGCCUCCAUCUCACCCACCCACCCCACCUUCAUCAAGAUGCUUAAUUCUUUCUGGGCAGGGCCUUGCUAUGUAGUUCAGUGAGGGGUUGAACUUACUUUAUAGCCCAGGUUGACCUCGAACUCACAGCAAUCCUCUUGCUUCAAUCUCCCGAGUGCUGGGAUUACAGGCAUAUGCCAACAUUCCUGGCAAGGUGCUUAAUUCUUUGGUCCACGUCUCCUGUGCUAUGGAUUGGCUCCCUGGGACUUGCUGUCUGACCACAUAUGAGCACUUCCCAUCCCUGGGUCUUUCUUAAAUCCUCUAACUUGUGAGGGUCUCCCAGUAGCAGGAGGCUGGGUGUGGCAACGUGGCUGGAGCAGUCGGUUACAAAUGAGAAGUCUUAUUAACCACAGACACAGAACAGCAGCACCCAAGCCUGAUGGGGGGUCAAGCUGAGCGCUGUACCCAGUACCAAUCUUCUGACAUGAAAACACAGGAACCUGGCACCUGGUAUCAGUCUUCCUGCUUGGGACGAAGUGGAGCCUCCUGGAUCAGCUACUAAGAUGCAGAAAGACGGCAGCAUCUGACUUGUGACCUCUUGCUCCCAGAGCAGCCCCUGUGCAUGCAGAAGCAUCUUCUCUUUUCCUUUCAAGGCACCCUUUUCUCCCUGAGCACUUCCUUUGUGCUUCUUGUCCUUUUUCUUAUUUCUACCCUAAAAUAAAUGGAAUCUUUCACAUCCACCAAUUGUCCUGACCAGUUCACUGAUCAGGACAGAUGAGGACUUGGGAAACACUGCUGGUCCCUAAUCCCCCCAUCCGAUAACAUCACUACCCUUCUUCUCCAAUCCUGGAGCCACCCUCAUUCCCCCCCAAUGUGUGGGACUCUGAGCAAGUGACUUUCAUGCUCAGGCCUCAGUCUCGUCACCUGUGGAGUGAAGAGCUCAGCGAGGUGACCUCUGAACACUCAUAGCCUGUGACUCUGUGAACACUGUGGGGCCACAGGGAUCCCAGAGCUUUGUAGCUUGGGAAUCAUUUUUGCCAGAUGCUGUGGCAGCCUGAGGUAUCCCUCAGAGGUCUGGGAUGAACUGGGCGUUUUGGUCCCAGCAUGGCAUGACUGAUGCUUAGACUCCUGGGUUGGGCUUUGAGGUGCUUCCUCUUCAUGGGCUGUUGGAGGCUUGACCUUGGCCAAGACCAGAGGAGCCGGAGGAGGAUCCUUCUCCUUCCUCAGCUCUGCUGUGACUGCUUUCCCCUACCCCCCAACCCCAAGCUUGCUUUUUCCCAGGGUCAGUUUGUGGCUGUCUCUGCCUGCAACCCCUACAUUUACUCACCAAGUGCCCCUUCCCUGGCUGGUGUAGCAUGGCCUCCUCCUGUCCACCCACAGCUGCCUCUGCCUUUCACAACUUCCCUCCAGAUGCACCUGAAGAACGAGCAGGAGAAGGUAACUGAGCGGACAAGCUGGAGCCUAAGACUAGCAGAGCUGUCUUCAUGGAGACACAGGCAGAGGACAGCGUGGCUCCCAGCCCACCUGUGCGAAUGAAGCAGACUCCCAAGGGACUGCAUUUCCCCCAGCAAAGGAAGGAGAGAACUGCCACCUCCCCAGAGUUCAGGAGGAGAAAUGGACCCAUCUCCCAUGCUCACACCUGCCAAGGCGCUUUGCGUGUCGACGUGUGACUGUUUCUUCAUCUCUUUCCUCCAUUAGACAUCAGCCCCUCACGGGGUCCCCUCACUUGACAGCAUCUCAGCAAACAAGGCUUUGGCCCUUGGAUUCUGUGGCUAGCAGUCAUGAGCUUUGUGAAGAACAGGUCUGGCAGUAAAAGGGUCGAUGAUUUGAUAUCUAACCUUGCCGUGAGAAAGUGGGGCUGAGUAUACCCAUGAAUGAGCACGAGUCUUUGAUUUCUGGUGUGGCUGCAUCUCUGUAUAUAUUUUUGUUCCCAGUCCCACGGAUAGGCUUUUCUUGUUUGUCUUGUUUUUAUU